UACGGAGGUCUCAAGCGUUGUUCGGAUUCAUUGGGCGUAAAGGGUGCGUAGGCGGCGCGGUAAGUCGGGUGUGAAAUCUUGGAGCUUAACUCCGAAACUGCAUUCGAUACUGCCGUGCUUGAGGACUGGAGAGGAGACUGGAAUUUACGGUGUAGCGGUGAAAUGCGUAGAUAUCGUAAGGAAGACCAGUGGCGAAGGCGGGUCUCUGGGACGGUACUGACGCUGAGACGCGAAAGCGUGGGGAGCAAACAGG
rnacentral:rRNA from 1 species